AAGACAUCGAUUGGUUAAUUCACUCUCUAUCAAGGUUUGUUAAGGGAACCAGACCAUAUAUGUUCCCUGUUUUGUGUUGGCUAGAACAUCUUGGGGGAGAGGUAUGCAUUAGAUGAUAUUGGUUAUGGAUCUCAUGUGCAUCUCAGUUUGUGUCAGAGUUGAACCCAUAUGAAUAGGU